GCAGGCCUAACACAUGCAAGUCGAGCGGAUGAGAGGAGCUUGCUCCUGGAUUCAGCGGCGGACGGGUGAGUAAUGCCUAGGAAUCUGCCUGGUAGUGGGGGACAACGUUUCGAAAGGAACGCUAAUACCGCAUACGUCCUACGGGAGAAAGCAGGGGACCUUCGGGCCUUGCGCUAUCAGAUGAGCCUAGGUCGGAUUAGCUAGUUGGUGAGGUAAUGGCUCACCAAGGCGACGAUCCGUAACUGGUCUGAGAGGAUGAUCAGUCACACUGGAACUGAGACACGGUCCAGACUCCUACGGGAGGCAGCAGUGGGGAAUAUUGGACAAUGGGCGAAAGCCUGAUCCAGCCAUGCCGCGUGUGUGAAGAAGGUCUUCGGAUUGUAAAGCACUUUAAGUUGGGAGGAAGGGUUGUAGAUUAAUACUCUGCAAUUUUGACGUUACCGACAGAAUAAGCACCGGCUAACUCUGUGCCAGCAGCCGCGGUAAUACAGAGGGUGCAAGCGUUAAUCGGAAUUACUGGGCGUAAAGCGCGCGUAGGUGGUUUGUUAAGUUGGAUGUGAAAUCCCCGGGCUCAACCUGGGAACUGCAUCCAAAACUGGCAAGCUAGAGUAUGGUAGAGGGUGGUGGGAAUUUUCCUGUGUAGCGGUGAAAUGCGUAGAUAUAGGAAGGAACACCAGUGGCGAAAG
rnacentral:rRNA from 1 species